AGAUUGAACGCUGGCGGCAGGCCUAACACAUGCAAGUCGAGCGGUAGAGAGGUGCUUGCAUCUCUUGAGAGCGGCGGACGGGUGAGUAAUGCCUAGGAAUCUGCCUAGUGGUGGGGGAUAACGUUCGGAAACGGACGCUAAUACCGCAUACGUCCUACGGGAGAAAGCGGGGGACCUUCGGGCCUCGCGCCAUUAGAUGAGCCUAGGUCGGAUUAGCUAGUUGGUGAGGUAAUGGCUCACCAAGGCGACGAUCCGUAACUGGUCUGAGAGGAUGAUCAGUCACACUGGAACUGAGACACGGUCCAGACUCCUACGGGAGGCAGCAGUGGGGAAUAUUGGACAAUGGGCGAAAGCCUGAUCCAGCCAUGCCGCGUGUGUGAAGAAGGUCUUCGGAUUGUAAAGCACUUUAAGUUGGAAGAAGGUUGUAACCUAAUACGUUGCAACUUUGACGUUACCGACAGAAUAAGCACCGGCUAACUUCGUGCCAGCAGCCGUA
rnacentral:rRNA from 1 species